rnacentral:sRNA from 1 species
GUGAUAUUUCCAGUCAUGUGUAAUGAUCAAAUAGGGCAAUUAGCAUAAUAUAUCCAUCACUCCAAGCAUGUAUCAUUUCUUUGUGUUGGAGACAUUCCGUAUCUUCUCGCUAUUGGAAAAUUACAAUAAAUGGUUGUAAAUUCAGUCACCUUAUAGAGCACUGCACCUGUCCCUCUUGUCCACCGUCCUCGUGUGCCUGUUCCCCAACCUGUGGCUGCCCCCUCCCCAGAGAAGCCGAUGCUUGCUGGAGCUUGGUCGGUGCUCUGGGUAAGGAGACGCUGGGGCUCAUGCUGUGCUCAGGCCGCUCCCUGGUCAUCCAGGCACUUCUCACCUGCCUUUCUCUUCCCUGACCACUUCCCCCCAGGACUGAAGCGGGUCACGGGCGGGUUUAACUCCAAGAACAGAUGUGAUGCCAGGACCUAUUGCUACCUGCUGCCCACGUUUGCCUUUGCGCACAAGGACCGGGAUGUGCAGGAUGAGACCUACCGCCUGAGCGCUGAGACGCUGCAGCAGGUCAACAGGCUCCUGGCCUGCUACAAGGGAACGCACAACUUCCACAAUUUCACCUCGCAGAAGGGGCCACAGGAGCCCAGUGCCCGCCGCUACAUCCUGGAGAUGUACUGCGAGGAACCCUUUGUGCGGGAGGGCCUGGAGUUUGCGGUGAUCAGGGUGAAGGGCCAGAGCUUCAUGAUGCAUCAGAUCCGGAAGAUGGUCGGCCUGGUGGUGGCCAUCGUGAAGGGUUAUGCCCCUGAAUGCGUGCUGGAGCGCAGCUGGGGCACAGAGAAGGUGGACGUGCCCAAGGCGCCGGGACUUGGCCUGGUCCUGGAGAGGGUGCACUUUGAGAAGUACAACCAGCGCUUUGGCAACGAUGGGCUGCAUGAGCCGCUGGACUGGGUGCAGGAGGAGGGCAAGGUCGCAGCCUUCAAGGAGGAGCACAUCUACCCCACUAUCAUUGGCACCGAGCGGGAUGAACGCUCCAUGGCCCAGUGGCUGAGCACCUUGCCCAUCCACAACUUCAGUGCCACCACACUCACGGCAGGUGGCACUGGUGCCAAGGUGCCCAGUCCCCUGGAAGGCAGCGAAGGGGACGGAGACACUGACUGAGGCGAUGGGAGCUGCCCACCAGAGUGCCUCUGAGCAGCUCACAGUGUGUGCCCAGGUGUGCCACCCCUGUGGGCAGCAAGAAGCUGGGAUCGCUGCAGCCAUGUUUUCCCGGCCAUGGCUUCUCAGGCCUGCCUGGCAGAUGUGGCCUGGCGUUGUAACCUCAGGACCCUUUCCUUGUAGGAACAGCCUUUAUCGAAUCUGUUUUCAGCUCUUGCAUUGCAUAGAUGAACCUCAGCAUGUAAAGAACUAUUUUUUUAAAGAAGUGAUUUUCUUAUUAAACAAGUACAAAUUUUGCUUAGUCAA